UGGCGAUGAUCCGUUUGCGCGCCUAUUCCGCGACACAAUGGAACUAGAUUCGAGCCGGCUAAUGCACGCGGCACUCGCACAGACACUAUCUAGCUGCGUCGAUGCUGUCGCUGUCUUUGAUAAUAAGAUCUUCCCGGUGCAUCCGGCGCAUAUUAGGAAGCCGUCUGUGUUAUCUGUUGAAACGCGAUUACGCGGUCUCCUAUCUCCGUGCUUCGGCCUUGUUGUCCGUUUAAUUUUAGACUGUUCACGUAGUUCGGACACCUUUCUAUCGAUCGAGCUGUUCGGCGGGGAGGUAGUCAAAUUUCCAUAGAUUUCAGUAUAAUCUCUUUAUUCACAAUACUUUCGCGGUAACCAGGAUCUGGAACACGUAAUCACGCUCUUUCGAAUUAUUCGUGACGCUAUCUUGACCAUCCAAUCGGCCACUCUGUUAAGGCAAGGUCGUAUCACUGCAGACUACACGCGAGAUGUCAAUUUUAGUUAUACAACUAAUAAGUAUGGUUAUGAUAAUAUUGUACAAUUCAGUUGAUGGAGCAUUGUGUAUGAAAUACUUGCACUGUUAUUUCUUAGAGUAUGCUUCAUCGCGUUUCUUUAAAUCGUUUCUGAAUACAACAUUAAUAAUGUUGGAUCGAAUAUUCUCUAGCAAUGCUGUGUUCUUUUGAAAUGUCUUUUAGGCCAAGAAGUGUACAUUAUGGUUAGUGUCAGUUCGGAUCCUAUAGUGUCUUUGCUACUAACGCACAGUUAGGAUGUUCGUCCCCUAUCCUCUCGCUGAAUGUUUUUCCAUCGAAAUGGAACUCUUGGUAGCUGACUCUAGCCAGACUCUCGAAUCCGCAUUUUCUAGCGAUUUUCUGGGAGUAAUUGGAAGUCAUGAUGGCGGAUACUAUACUGGGCACCAAGGACAGGUUGUGUAUGUCAUCAUUGCCGUUGAUUUUGACUGGUGUCUUGACUAGUUUCCCUCUUUUCAGCUGUUUCGCUACUUCUAUCGACGUGGUCACUAGCGUCUCCCCUAUUCUUCGCUGCUGCUUGUCGGGCAGCGUUGCCAAGAACAUGAUCUCGAAGAUGCAGUCCGUGUUGUAGUGCUUGAAUAGGUUUAUUCGGGAGUCCACGUUGAUCAUGAAGUCCACUAGACAUUUAGACGCCUUGUGCUUGCAGUUUUCACUGAAGACCUCGAACGCAGUUUUCUCUGAUGCACUUCUGAGCACCUUAAGAAAAAGGAAGUAUAUUUAGUAUUUAUAUCAUUUCUGUUCACUUACAUUUUAUUUGCUUGAUAUUUUAAUAUAAUUAUUCUAAUAUAAUUAUAAUAAUUGUGUAUAGUUUGUAUAAUAUAUUAAUAUUAGAUGCAUGAUUUACAAUUUGUGUUAAUAAAAUAUUAAUUUAUUAUUGUGUAUUAUAUUAUAACUAUAGUAUAAUUUAUAUUGUCACGUCGAUACGGAUGUGAACUUCUUUCGUGUACAACCACAACCUCAUCAGAUCAUUCGAAUUGACUAAUCUACGAUUAUUCUUGUUCCUCAUAUUAUUCAACGUAAAAAUUGAUAAUAUUAUAUCUCGCGUGCAAAGCAGAAGCAAACGUACUAUAUUAUCAUUUCAAGUGUAAUAGAAAUGUCCUCUUCUAGCGUUUCAACUCUUUGACCUACAAUAUCUUGUGAGACUUGUGACGAAAAUUUGAAAUUGAAUUUGAUGAAACCAAUCGUUAUUUAACUUUUGAGAAUUUAAAUUAAGUAAUAAUUUUCUAUUAUCCGUCAUUAACCUUUUGAGUAAAUGUAAACGUAGAGUAAUCAUAAAAAUGUACCCUUCUCCUAAUAAAUUACUAACAUUAAAGUAAUUAUACCGAUCAUACUUAACAAGUCAAUCUUAAACUACGGUUGUCUUGCCUCCGUGUCAAUAUUAAUAUACUAUAAAAAUUACGAUAUAAUACAUUUUAAAAUAAGCGUGAAAAUAUAAUGUAAUAUAACGUAUAACAGUAAAUUAAUAUUUCAGUAACAGAAAUCGUCAUCAAUAAUAACCAUUAUACAACUGUAUGCUACCACAGAUUUUCUAUAUUAUCAUAAUCAAUUUUCCAAAUUAUUUGUUUUAGUACCUGAAUUUUGUUGAAUGCCACUCCAAUGACUUCCCCAGUGGUAAAAUCUGUGGCCACGACACUGACUCCAUCCUUGGCAGCAUCCAGACACAAUUCCUCAAGUUCUUUCGAUGCACCAACUUCUGCGGUCAAAGCUACACCUUUGCAGACGCUUUCGUUGAUGAAGAAGCUUUUCCUGAUGACAUCCAAAGCUCCUUCUAGAGUGUCUUCCGUCAGAGACUCGAACUCUAUAGCCCCAUCCUCUAUGGAGCCCCAGAGCCUGUACGGUGACAUUCUGUCUCCCCUGGAAUAAAGAUAAUCAGCUGACGAAAAUUUGUUUCAUAUACUAGAACGUAUUUCCGAUACUCCGCAAGGUCUUCAGAUACUGACGGUUACUUGUCAACUGAUCAUUAUGAGUAAUUCAGCACUGACUAUAGCCACAAGAGUUACGUGUAUCGAACGGAGGUUUUGAUUAUGUGAGUGUGCUAUCACUGGAGCACGGAGUGUCUUAUACGUAAACGAUUUUCGAGUGAAUUUCAACUGUUGGCGUUACUAUGUACUCUGGCGUCAAGAUUGAUUUGCCUGCGAGGCAUGGCUGAAGAAAGGGAGAACAUUCCAUGGGAUCGAAUGACCCCAUUGUGAUGGCUAACAAUCGGCAGAUAACGAAACGGUUGAAUAAAGAGCGGUAAAACAGAAACUCGAUACGCAUGUGGCAAGCGCCGAUCACUGCAUCACGUGGCCGUUUGGAAGGCCACGGCAACGCGAGAGAGCGUGGAAAUGCAACAUGGAUAAAUAUAGUUAUCUCAUAGUGAGCUGUACAGGCCACCAGUUUCUCUAAAGAUGUUCAGGCUUUAAUCAGCUCAGACUUUAAGACUACCUUGAGUGCCGGGUAUUUAAAAAUUUGUUACGGUUCAAUUUAAAUAAGACGUAACUAACGACUUCAUUACUGGCCUAAAAUGAUCUUUUAUAUGCAGAUAAGGACAAAUCUUUUCUUCGAUAAGGCGCAGACAAUUUCAAAACACUAAUCUGAACCCAGUCGCGGCGGGAAAUGUAUUUGAACGUGCUCCGUUUUGGUUACACAAGCACAAACAGUUAUGGUAUCUUAUUUUACUUGAUUCUAAGUGCAAAAACUUCAAGUGCAAUCAAAAGGAUUGUAGAAUUAUCGAGCUGCAUAAUUCCUAGAACUAGAUAUUACCGCUCUAUCAGUCGCGCAGGUGUAGUCUUAAAAAGAUUAAGGGAAGCUCUGUCGCUGAUAAAUUCACUUGGCAUCGAUAAUGUCACCGAAGCCUACGCCUGUCAAACUACCAGUCCAAGCUAUUCUUAGAAUUUGAAUAAAAUGCGAAUCUAUUGAAUUUGACGGAAAUACUGGCAAGAAUUUCGUAUUGACAAUUUGCGAUUAAUUACUUACAACGAUCCUGUUUAUUUAAAUGACAGUUGGUCAGAGACACUCGGUCGACAGCGUGACGACUAUGUUCUGGAGAACAGUCGGACGUUUUACAAUGUGAUACGCUGUUGCGUCUGCCUUUUUGUCCUACUCUAUCGCCUGGUGAAGUCCUUUUUCAAUCGGUACUUUUGAUACGAAUGUGUCAAGGUGCUUCCCAAUAGGACUUCACUAGAUUUACACAUCGUGCCAUUCUGUGCAACAAUACUCAUUGCAAAUGUUCCUAUGAACAUGACGAGGCCAUUGGUCUAGCCGACUGCACCAGGCUGUUCAACAAGAUAAUUGCAUA